rnacentral:rRNA from 1 species
CAAAAUGAGAGUUUGAUCCUGGCUCAGGACGAACGCUGGCGGCGUGCCUAAUACAUGCAAGUCGAGCGAGCAGAACCAGCAGAUUUACUUCGGUAAUGACGCUGGGGACGCGAGCGGCGGAUGGGUGAGUAACACGUGGGGAACCUGCCCCAUAGUCUAGGAUACCACUUGGAAACAGGUGCUAAUACCGGAUAAUAAAGCAGAUCGCAUGAUCAGCUUAUAAAAGGCGGCGUAAGCUGUCGCUAUGGGAUGGCCCCGCGGUGCAUUAGCUAGUUGGUAAGGUAACGGCUUACCAAGGCAAUGAUGCAUAGCCGAGUUGAGAGACUGAACGGCCACAUUGGGACUGAGACACGGCCCAAACUCCUACGGGAGGCAGCAGUAGGGAAUCUUCCACAAUGGACGCAAGUCUGAUGGAGCAACGCCGCGUGAGUGAAGAAGGUUUUCGGAUCGUAAAGCUCUGUUGUUGGUGAAGAAGGAUAGAGGUAGUAACUGGCCUUUAUUUGACGGUAAUCAACCAGAAAGUCACGGCUAACUACGUGCCAGCAGCCGCGGUAAUACGUAGGUGGCAAGCGUUGUCUGGAUUUAUUGGGCGUAAAGCGAGCGCAGGCGGAAGAAUAAGUCUGAUGUGAAAGCCCUCGGCUUAACCGAGGAAUUGCAUCGGAAACUGUUUUUCUUGAGUGCAGAAGAGGAGAGUGGAACUCCAUGUGUAGCGGUGGAAUGCGUAGAUAUAUGGAAGAACACCAGUGGCGAAGGCGGCUCUCUGGUCUGCAACUGACGCUGAGGCUCGAAAGCAUGGGUAGCGAACAGGAUUAGAUACCCUGGUAGUCCAUGCCGUAAACGAUGAGUGCUAAGUGUUGGGAGGUUUCCGCCUCUCAGUGCUGCAGCUAACGCAUUAAGCACUCCGCCUGGGGAGUACGACCGCAAGGUUGAAACUCAAAGGAAUUGACGGGGGCCCGCACAAGCGGUGGAGCAUGUGGUUUAAUUCGAAGCAACGCGAAGAACCUUACCAGGUCUUGACAUCUAGUGCCAUCCUAAGAGAUUAGGAGUUCCCUUCGGGGACGCUAAGACAGGUGGUGCAUGGCUGUCGUCAGCUCGUGUCGUGAGAUGUUGGGUUAAGUCCCGCAACGAGCGCAACCCUUAUUAUUAGUUGCCAGCAUUAAGUUGGGCACUCUAAUGAGACUGCCGGUGACAAACCGGAGGAAGGUGGGGAUGACGUCAAGUCAUCAUGCCCCUUAUGACCUGGGCUACACACGUGCUACAAUGGGCAGUACAACGAGAAGCGAGCCUGCGAAGGCAAGCGAAUCUCUGAAAGCUGUUCUCAGUUCGGACUGCAGUCUGCAACUCGACUGCACGAAGCUGGAAUCGCUAGUAAUCGCGGAUCAGAACGCCGCGGUGAAUACGUUCCCGGGCCUUGUACACACCGCCCGUCACACCAUGGAAGUCUGCAAUGCCCAAAGCCGGUGGCCUAACCUUCGGGAAGGAGCCGUCUAAGGCAGGGCAGAUGACUGGGGUGAAGUCGUAACAAGGUAGCCGUAGGAGAACCUGCGGCUGGAUCACCUCCUUU